GUCACUAUAGCUUAGUGGUUGAGCAUACGAUUGCAACAAAAGUCAUGUGUUCAGUCACGUUGUCAAAUCACGUGAUCGUGAGGUCCCGCGUUCGAACCGCGGUAGUGACU